rnacentral:rRNA from 1 species
GAUGAACGCUGGCGGCGUGCCUAAUACAUGCAAGUCGAGCGAACGGACGAGAAGCUUGCUUCUCUGAUUUUAGCGGCGGACGGGUGAGUAACACGUGGAUAACCUACCUAUAAGACUGGGAUAACUUCGGGAAACCGGAGCUAAUACCGGAUGAUAUUUUGAACCGCAUGGUUCAAAAGUGAAAGACGUUCUUUCUGUCACUUAUAGAUGGAUCCGCGCUGCAUUAGCUAGUUGGUAAGGUAACGGCUUACCAAGGCAACGAUGCAUAGCCGACCUGAGAGGGUGAUCGGCCACACUGGAACUGAGACACGGUCCAGACUCCUACGGGAGGCAGCAGUAGGGAAUCUUCCGCAAUGGGCGAAAGCCUGACGGAGCAACGCCGCGUGAGUGAUGAAGGUCUUCGGAUCGUAAAACUCUGUUAUUAGGGAAGAACAUAUGUGUAAGUAACUGUGCACAUCUUGACGGUACCUAAUCAGAAAGCCACGGCUAACUACGUG